rnacentral:lncRNA from 1 species
UUUUAAUCUCAAAAUCUUUUUCUUUUUUUCAUUUUAGUCUGUUUUAAGAAAAUGCAGUUUUUUUUUAUAAUUCUUUAAUUUUAAUUUUUUUCACACGACAUAUUUAAGAUAAUAAAAUUAAAAGAUAUUUUAGCACAUUCUACAUAUCUUUAGUUUAAGAUUAUUAAAUUCAUUUUUCUUUAUUUUCUUAAACAUUGUAUCAAGUCAAAAUCAGAUAAAUAAAUUAAAACGGGGAGAGUAACAAUC